rnacentral:rRNA from 1 species
UACGUAGGGGGCGAGCGUUGUCCGGAUUUACUGGGCGUAAAGCGUGCGCAGGCGGUUGUGCAAGACAGAUGUGAAAUCCCCGGGCUCAACCUGGGAAUUGCAUUUGUGACUGCACGGCUAGAGUGUGUCAGAGGGGGGUAGAAUUCCACGUGUAGCAGUGAAAUGCGUAGAUAUGUGGAGGAAUACCGAUGGCGAAGGCAGCCCCCUGGGAUAACACUGACGCUCAUGCACGAAAGCGUGGGGAGCAAACAGG